rnacentral:tRNA from 1 species
GCCGAGGUGGCCCAGCCUGGUAAGGCGCGAGCCUGGAAAGCUCGUGGCGCUCAGCGCUUCGGGAGUUCGAAUCUCCCCCUCGGCG